CGCAGUGGGAGCAUGGAUGCGAUAGCGGGACCCACGAGACGGACGAUCGUGAUGCAUGGAGAUGCAUCAAGAUGUCGACGGAACCGACGAGGACGAGAUGGACGAUCACAGGGCAUGGAGAUGCACCGUUGCACACAUAGAUCUUGAUGUGAGUGAUUAGGCCUACUGGCUCGGGCCUAAUCAUAUUAGGCUGUGGUCCAUGAUCA
rnacentral:lncRNA from 1 species